GUGAACGGCCUGCAACAAAACUUCAACUUCGGCCAGAAAAUCGAGGACGGAGGUGAUGUGCAGGGCCGCCUAACUCAUUUACGUGGGGACUUCCCACUCCCUGAAGGUCUCAUGCCGGGCAUAAGCUCCGAACAGCAGGCUGGUCUAAGCCCUCCCCCUCAUGCUGAUCUGUGAAACAUGUCUUGCUGGUUCGCCUGAUAAUUCUCGAUCCGACACCCUGAAAAUAUCGUGUCACUACCAAACAUCGAUCGAGUUCCCCUAUAGCAGGUUAACAUUUGGGAAGAUCAAAAACGCUCAUAAAUUUUAAAAUACGCAUUCAUUCAUUUAUACAAUCCCGCAUUCAGUAUUUCUACUAAGACAAGCUCAGCGGAACGGAUGGGAUUUAUCGGCCCACUCCUUUGGGACCUUCACUACAAAAAGGUAAACAUCCGGAACAACCCAAUAAUUCUAUCAACCCAAGACCUUGUGUGGAGUUGGAAUAUAUUUGUCCUCGCCGGCGGAUCUACACUGGUAAUACCCACCAGCUCUCAAUGAAAAAUUAUCCGAUUCCAUCAAAAUUUCACACAUUCUUCUUGGUUGGAUAUAAUCUUCAAAGUUGGAAUCUAUACGUACUUUGAUACAAACAUAAUUUGAUCAAAUUAUUGAAAUCAUGGUACCAUAAAAAAGUAAGGUGGUGAAACAUUUUGCAUGCGGAAAUAUUUGUGCCUAUGCCUGUCUUGUCGUCGUGGUUGCCGAAGAACGGAUUUUGUAUGCGGUAUAUGCUGAUGUGAUUGAUAGUUCCAAAAAAGGAGACAGCAAAUUUUAUGGACGUCACAUAUAUAUAUAAAUAUAUCUAUCAAGGACAACACAACGUUUACGCUUCUUUCCGGAGGAAACAGAUUUUGAACGCCAGGCAAACCCUGAAAUGAAGCUGGACUUGUUGACUGGUCCUUUUACAAUGCCGGCGUUCUGGGCGGGAUCAAUAACAGGCACAGCAAAAAGCUCAAAGUUGCAGCUGGCCAGUUUACAAUUCAAAUCUCCACACCCUCAAUGUAACUUUUUUUGGCUUUUUUCUCCUGUGGACAACUUGCCACUACCUUGCGUUACCAAAAAGAAAAGGCAAUUUCCCGCCGUUGUGCUGACCAAAACCGGACAAUUUUCGGUGCUUCCAAAAAAGCUUGAUACACCACCGGAAUAUUCCUGUUGGAGCAACACACAUCACAUAUAACAACACAUUACUCAACAAACCACUGUUACAAACUACUUACACAAUAAAAAAAUCGCAACACACAAAUUAAA